AAGAUGUUUGUCUUGUAAUUAAGAGGUCAUGAGUUUAAAUCGCAGCUGCAUCAAGUUUCCACAGAUGGGCCCUUGAACAAGGACCUUAACUUUCAACUACUCAGUGAAUAAAUGGCAUAAAAGUAAAUUGCUCUGGAUAAGGGCAUCUACCAAAAAGUCUCCAUUCAUCUUCUAUCUAUCUUCUACCACCUGGCCUUGUGGACUCGAGAGAGGGAGUAAAGAAGCUGCUGUAUCACCACCUAGCCUUGUGGACUCAGGUGAAGGAGUAAAGGAGCUGCAGUGCCACCAGAUGGCCUUGUGGACCCGGGUGAGGGAGUAAAGGAGCUGCAGUCAGACUCAGUGCCCAGGAGGAUUUGGAUAAAAAGAUGUGGAGAUUUUACAAGAGACGUCAUCAGUGUUACAUCAUUCCACAUUUUUUACUCCAGUUUGAGACGAUCACUAAAUUAUGGAAUGUUUUUUAAUGUUUGUUUUAUUAUUAAACUUAGCUUUACUUGUAAUUUCUUUGUUAAAGUAUUGAUGUCACUUGUUUACUCUCUUUUUUUGACUUUUAGAUAUGCGGGUUUGGGAUUGACAUUAUUCCAAAUCUUUUUUCCAAAAUGAUUAACCCUAACCCUUGAGAAAAUCACACAAACAGUGUUUUAAUUUCCAGAACAGGAGAAAGUGCAAAUUGAUUACUGUACCAUGCGAUGAUGUCACGAUUUUACUUUGAAAAUAUUAAUAAAAUGUUUAAUGUUA